rnacentral:rRNA from 1 species
UGCUGGCGGCAGCUACCAUGCAAGUCGAGCGGAACGAAGAGGUGCUUGCACCUCUGGCGUCGAGCGGCGGACGGGUGAGUAAUGCUUGGGAAUAUGCCUUAUGGUGGGGGACAACAGUUGGAAACGACUGCUAAUACCGCAUGAUGUCUACGGACCAAAGUGGGGGACCUUCGGGCCUCACGCCAUAAGAUUAGCCCAAGUGGGAUUAGCUAGUUGGUGAGGUAAUGGCUCACCAAGGCGACGAUCCCUAGCUGGUUUGAGAGGAUGAUCAGCCACACUGGGACUGAGACACGGCCCAGACUCCUACGGGAGGCAGCAGUGGGGAAUAUUGCACAAUGGGCGCAAGCCUGAUGCAGCCAUGCCGCGUGUGUGAAGAAGGCCUUCGGGUUGUAAAGCACUUUCAGUAAGGAGGAAAGGUUAAGUGUUAAUAGCACUUAGCUGUGACGUUACUUACAGAAGAAGCACCGGCUAACUCCGUGCCAGCAGCCGCGGUAAUACGGAGGGUGCGAGCGUUAAUCGGAAUUACUGGGCGUAAAGCGUACGCAGGCGGUUUGUUAAGCGAGAUGUGAAAGCCCCGGGCUCAACCUGGGAACUGCAUUUCGAACUGGCAAACUAGAGUGUGAUAGAGGGUGGUAGAAUUUCAGGUGUAGCGGUGAAAUGCGUAGAGAUCUGAAGGAAUACCGAUGGCGAAGGCAGCCACCUGGGUCAACACUGACGCUCAUGUACGAAAGCGUGGGGAGCAAACAGGAUUAGAUACCC